UAGGUCAGUUAACUUGAGAGUACAGUACACAAGUUUGUGUGAUUCCUCUCAAGUUUCGGGUCGAGAAUUUUGUUGAACCGAACCGAACUGAAUCCACACCGUGCUUCCUCUUCAUCUCAGCAAUGGGAUUCUUAGAUAUUCGUUCACUGCUUCUUUUCUCUGCCAUUUUUCGUGUUAUUUUGAUUGUAUAUGGAGAGUGGCAAGAUGCUCAUAUGGAAGUUAGAUUCACUGAUGUUGAUUACCUUGUGUUUUCUGAUGCUGCUGCUUUAAUGGCAUUGGGUGAUUCCCCUUACAAGCGAACCACGUAUCGCUAUUCCCCCUUGCUUGCCUUUCUUCUCAUUCCAAAUUCGUUCAUCCAUCGAUCCUGGGGUAAAUUUCUCUUUUCAUCUUCAGAUUUACUUGUGGGAUAUUUUAUCUAUUAUAUUCUAAAGCUACGGAAGGUUCCUGAAAAUCUCUGCAACUAUUCUGUCAUGACGUGGCUCUUUAAUCCAUUUACCUUCACCAUUGGGACACGUGGGAAUUGUGAACCCCUUGUUUGUGCCAUGAUAUUGUGGAUCAUUAUCUGUCUUAUGAAAGGUAAUGUGUUACAGUCAGCAUUUUGGUAUGGACUUGUUGUCCAUUUCAGGAUUUAUCCUAUAAUUUAUUCCAUUCCUAUUAUCCUGGUUCUUGAUCCGAACUUCUUCCCAUCUAAUCAGAAACCUGUUCUGAGGAACUGGAAUGCUGUACAGGAACAGAGACCCAAAGAUGGGAAUGGCUGGCAUACAUUACAUAAUCUAUUUAAAAACACACUCACAAGGAACAGGCUGAUAUUUGGACUGGUCUCGGGAUUGGUUUUCCUCUUUUGUACUGGUCUGUUCUUCUGUUUGUAUGAGUGGGAGUUCCUUCAUGAGGCACUGUUGUACCAUCUUACUCGUACAGAUCCAAGGCACAACUUCUCUAUAUAUUUCUAUCACAUAUAUCUUCGUUAUGGGCAUGAUACUUCAGUGGUGGAAAAGCUUAUCUCCUUUUUGCCACAAUUUUUGGUUCAGUUGGUUCUUGUCUUCUGCUUUGCACAGGAUUUGCCAUUUUGUCUAUUUGUGCAGACUGUGGCAUUUGUGGCAUUCAAUAAGGUGAUUACAGCACAGUAUUUUGUUUGGUUCUUUUGCUUAUUGCCUCUAAUACUCCCUUGGAGUAAAAUGAAACUUAGAUGGGAUGGAUUAUCUUGCAUUCUUCUGUGGAUUGGAGCUCAGACCCAUUGGUUGAUGUGGGGCUACCUGCUUGAGUUCAAGGGUAAAAAUGUCUUCUUACAGCUUUGGAUGGCAAGCUUACUUUUUCUAGUAGCCAACAUAUUCAUCCUUGUCAUGAUUAUUCGUCACCAUAACUAUGCUUCAGUUUUCAGACCUUUAGAGUAUGCCAAGUCCAAGAAUGUAGCUAAGCUCGAGUGAGUGACCCUGACAUUCUGUGACUGAUUUUCAAUUUUUUAUAUUCUAAUGCUUUUUAUCUGUUGCCCUUCUGUGUUUCUGUUUUGGAAGGCUAACAUAACAAUUUAAGCUCAUGACUAUAGUUGAGUUUGAGAACUGAUAAUCAUGUCAAAAUUUGUGGACUUUUUAAAAUGUGAAUAAAUAGGCGAAUCAAUGUAUUAUUGUUUUGUUACCCUAUAUUGUUUCAAUUUUUAAUUUUGUUGCUUCUUGGCUUUUUGUUCUUUAUUUGAACUUGUAGAGUUGAUCUUAAGAUCUUUCAGGCAACUCUCCUUUUUAACUUUUUUCCCCCUUCAUUGUAUUUGGCAACAUAUCAAGUACAAAUUUUUGUGUAAUCAAGAUUCAUCUUCAGUUACAUAAAACUACUCUAAAAUUCUGAUCACGUAACUACUGAGCUUGUUUUAACUGAAAAAGCUUGUCCAUUAGUUUUAUUCCUAAAUCUUGAUGGUAGGGGCAGUUUGUCUUAUUGUAAGAAGUUAAGGACAAAGUAAUUUAUUUUAUGAAAUAUGAAUGAAAGGGCACAUUGUAUUCUAACCAACCUUCAUCCUCACCUGAGAAAAGAUAUCUUCUCAUCAAUUUAGACUGAACGUUUGGUGAAAACUUGUCACUCUAUACUUCUAUGCAUUGUUCUUACCACAAGAGGUGAUGGUAAGUCCUCAUAAAAUAGUAUAACCUGGUAUCAGGCAUAUGCAUUAUCAAUGCAAUGCAUUUAACACCAUAUCUUCCUCUAUCUUGGAUAAGACACUAUCAUGUAAAAGCACUAAUCAUUAUCAAAAUUGAGUUCCAUCCGCUAUUACAUACAAGCAUCAGAACAUCCUACAGCUUAAAUUCACUGGAAUGAAGGAAAUAGAGCAGUUGCAGAAGUUCUUAUUAGUUCUGGCACAACAUAGAUACAAAUUUUAGAGUAAAGACGCUAAUAGGAAGAGCAACCUUUAGUAUGUAUGCAUACAAAGCAACAUCUUACCUCCUUCAAGCUCGAAUUCCAUCCUCCAACAUUUUCUUGAUUUUUGCACAUGGACAAUCACAAGGUGAGAUUUUACCCAAAAAACAAUACAAGAUGAGAAUUGACAUUCAUUUAGAGAUGAAAAGAUGGUGGCAUAUAAGGUACACCACAAGAGAUGUAGUGUACCUGUACAACAUCAAGUUAUUAGCAUUGUAUAUAUAUUUGCUUCAAUGGGUGGCUGAGUUACAUCACCUACAAGUCUAGAACUUGUAGACCAGGUAACAGAUGUCCACAUUUGGAAAAAAAUGCAAACUGGUCUUAAUGUUGUCAGGCAUAGGCAAAGCUCUCCAUUGAAGCCAAACCACAUAUUGUGUUGAAGCCAUGAAUAACACCUUGGACGCCAAAACUAAUCUCAUUCUGCUGAAUCAGAUUGCAUCUGGCAAAGUGUGGCAAAGUUAGAGAUAGGGGACUCAUUGGGAACCUGCUCCUGAGAGCUUGGGCUUGAGGUUUUCAAUUGUUGAAACCCUAGAGGCUCCAGACAUGGUCUGACCAAGGUGGUCCUUUGGCCAUUGGAGGGAGCUAAAAUCAGAUCUGACAAUUGGCAAUCACCCCCAAGGCCAAAAAGAGUGAUGCUUGAUGAAGAUAGAUCAAAUUAAGCAUUUGCAAGGAGUUAUAACGUUCAUUACAAACCUUGGCUUCAGGCUAUCCUUUUGAUGUGUUAAGUUUAAAUGUAGAUAGUAACAUAAGUUGUGUAAUUUUAUCAUUAUUAGAUUGGGAAUCAAGGUGCUUCUCAAGAGCAUCCCCUUUUGCUUUCAUCUCUUUUGUAGUAAAGAGUUGUUUUUAAUAAAGUGUGUAUUUGAAUAAUUGAUAGUUAACAUCUUUUAAAAUUUAUGAAGUGCUUCCUUUUCUUUUCUG